UACGAGGGGGGGCGAGCGUUGUUCGGAAUCAUUGGGCGUAAAGAGCUCGUAGGCGGUCUGUCGCGUCGAAUGUGAAAACCCGGGGCUCAACCCCGGGCCUGCAUUCGAUACGGGCAGACUAGAGUUCGGUAGGGGAGUCUGGAAUUCCUGGUGUAGCGGUGGAAUGCGCAGAUAUCAGGAGGAACACCGGUGGCGAAGGCGGGUCUCUGGGCAACAACUGACGCUGAGGAGCGAAAGCGUGGGGAGCGAACAGG
rnacentral:rRNA from 1 species